AAAGUACUCCCUCCAUCCCGAAUUACUUGUCGCAGAAAUGGAUGGAAAUGGAUGCAUUUAGGACUAACAAUACAUCUAGAUACAUCCAUUUCUACGACAAGUAAUUAGGGACGGAGAGAUAUAUG
rfam:Triticum aestivum genome assembly, contig: Triticum_aestivum_CS42_TGACv1_scaffold_157893_2DL